rnacentral:misc_RNA from 1 species
AAGCUUCUGAAUGUCUCUGUUAUGGAGGGGGACAUCCCACCAAACAACAAGAAUCCAUAUUAAAACGGUAGGAUUAAACAAUGAAUUUGCCAUUGAUAAAUUACAGAAACGCCUGAGAAACAGAAAAUUUAUUUCUAUUUACAUAGCUAAGUCACAUUUCUCACACCAAGAUCAACACUCGUGCCCUCCAUAACAGAGACAUUCAGAAGCUU